ensembl:lncRNA
CUACACGAAGGUGUGAACACCAGGUGGUGAGAUUGGUGGGAGCCAUCUUGGAGCUGACUUAUGGCUACCACAAGCAUCAUCUUUAUUUUACAGACAUACAAGAAUGGCUAAAAUUGCAAGAAAAGAAACCUGUCAAUACCAAACGUGGCAAUGCUUGGAGCAGCUGGAACUCUCCUACACUGAAGGUUGAAUAAACGUGAUACCAGGUGGAAGCUCAGAUCUACACGAGGAAUGAAGAAUGCCGGAAAUCAUAAAUAUAUGCUGAACUGCCAGAACCCAUGGACAUUUAGGACUCGAGUAAAGCACAGGACAAUAAGAGCAACCAAGUACGGCCUCGUCCAAGUACAGCUUUGCAGGAAGAUUAGCCCUGAGCUAACAUCUGCUGCCAAUCCUCUUCUCUGAAGAAGACUGGCCCUGAGGUAACAUCUGUGCCCAUCUUCCUCUACUUUAUAUGUGGGACGCCUACAGCAUGGCUUGCCGAGCAGUGCCAUGUCCGCACUCGGGAUCUGGGCCUGCGAACCCUGGGCCGCCAAAGCAGAACGUGCGAACUUAACGGCUGCGCCACUGGGCCGGCCCCCUCCUCCCUCACUCUUAUAAGGACACCUGCCAUUGGAUUGAGGGCCCACACAGGCCAUCCAGGAUGAUCUCAUCUUGGGAUCCUUCAGUUAAUUACAUCUGCAAAGACCCUUUUUCCAAAUAAGGUCACAUUCACAGGUUCGGGGUUAGGACACGGUCAUAACGGUUUAUUGGGGUUGAGGGGUGGGGAGUGCUAGUUCCGCUACAGCGGAAAAGCUGCCGGAUUUGCUCCAUCUCCGAGCCGUGGAUGACAAGGAGGGAGCCAGGGCUUGGCGAAGGGAGCAAGCCGCCUUCUGGGUUUCUAACAGCGCCUCUUCUAUUGUUUUGUGUUUUUCUCUUUUGUUUUGAGGUUUUCUGCCCUCUUUUCUGGAAGGUGCACAAUGCUCGGCUCUGUGGUUAUUUUCGCCUAACAGCUGUGUUUCCGGUGAGCAGCUGGGAGAUGCUUCUGACUCAGCAGAACUGGAGCAGUAACCGUCAAGAAGCCGCUCAAGCGAGGCUAGAAAUCAAGAAGCAGUUUCCCCCCCAGUCCCCGUCCUUUCACUUCCCCACCCGUGGGCACCUUUUGAAAGUCUCACAGAGCACUUCUGAAAAACCGCUUGGACCCGCGUGCUCGAGGCCUGGCUGGAGGUGGGCCCGCAGCUAGGCUUUCCGAAAACAGAUGGAUUCCGGAAAGGACUGUGCCAAACCCGCCGGCUUUGUUUGGAAGGCCCCUCCCAGGAGGCCCCCCCUUCCCCGCGCGGCUUGUAUCUUACAAGUUUCCCACAGGUCUGAGCAGUGAAAGCAGAGGCGGUCGGGACUUCUGUGGUUUUCCAGGGUGGGGCCCAAGUUGCCUUCCCCAGGCCGGGGUGGCUUAGGUUCUGCAGCUCGCCUGUUUUUCAGAGGUGAUGAUUUCGCCCUGGGUCUGGGAGGCGGCUCCAAAUUUCUACCCACUGGCCCUGGAUUCCAGCCCUGACCUCGAGGGGGGCGCUAGAAGUCCUGCCCGCAGCGGGAAGGGAGCAAACCAGAGAGGACCCGGCGUCCUGGAGAGCUGGCCUCUGUGCAUGCUGGUGCCUGCAAAGGGCUCACGGGAGAGGGAGACAGCUGCACCCGGAGCGCCUUGCUGCUGUUCCGAGAAAGAAAGGAACAAAUAAAUUUAGCUCCAACCUACGCAUCCUUCACAGCUGCUUAUUGACCAAACAGAAAGGGGCCUCUCUUUCAACCCUGGCUUCUCAGCUCUGUGCCCAAGGAGGUCUGCCACGG